CCCUUAGAUGUCCUGGGCUGCACGUGCGCUACACUGGAAGUUACGGAUUGAGAUACUACCUUGUCCGAAAUGGUCCGGGUAAUCACCUAAAAGCUUGUCAUAAUUGGAAUGGAUUAUUGUAACUAGUAAUCCUGAACGAGGAAUUCCUAGUAAGUCCCAGUCAACAGCUGGUACUGAUUACGUCCCUGCCCUUUGUACACACCGCCCGUCGCUACUACUGAUUGGACGUUUAAGCAAGAUUUUUAAACACUGACAGUGUGUAGUUCACGCUAUACUACAGUGAGAAGAAGAAGAUCGAGCUUACUUGUCUAGAGGAAGUAAAAGUCGUAACA
rnacentral:rRNA from 1 species